GUAUUCCACCUGGGGAGUACGCCGGCAACGGUGAAACUCAAAGGAAUUGACGGGGGCCCGCACAAGCGGAGGAACAUGUGGUUUAAUUCGAUGAUACGCGAGGAACCUUACCCGGGCUUAAAUUGCAAAUGAAUAUGUAGGAAACUAUAUAGCCGCAAGGCAUUUGUGAAGGUGCUGCAUGGUUGUCGUCAGCUCGUGUCGUGAGAUGUUGGGUUAAGUCCCGCAACGAGCGCAACCCUUAUUGUUAGUUGCUACGCAAGAGCACUCUAGCGAGACUGCCGUUGACAAAACGGAGGAAGGUGGGGACGACGUCAAAUCAUCAUGCCCCUUAUGUCCUGGGCCACACACGUACUACAAUGGUGGUUAACAGAGGGAGGCAAAACCGCGAGGUGGAGCAAAUCCCUAAAAGCCAUCCCAGUUCGGAUUGCAGGCUGAAACCCGCCUGUAUGAAGUUGGAAUCGCUAGUAAUCGCGAAUCAGAAUGUCGCGGUGAGUACGUUCCCGGGUCUUGUACACACCGCCCGUCACACCAUGGGAGUUGGUAACGCCCGAAGUCAGUGACCCAACCGCAAGGAGGGAGCUGCCGAAGGCGGGACUGAUAACUGGGGUGAAGUCGUAACAAGGUAGCCG
rnacentral:rRNA from 1 species